AUUGAACGCUGGCGGCAUGCCUUACACAUGCAAGUCGAACGGCAGCACGGGAGCAAUCCUGGUGGCGAGUGGCGAACGGGUGAGUAAUGCGUCGGAGCGUGCCGAGUAGUGGGGGAUAACGCAUCGAAAGGUGUGCUAAUACCGCAUACGUACUGAGGUAGAAAGUGGGGGACCUUCGGGCCUCACGCUAUUCGAGCGGCCGACGUCUGAUUAGCUAGUUGGUGAGGUAAAGGCUCACCAAGGCGACGAUCAGUAGCGGGUCGGAGAGGAGGAUCCGCCACACUGGGACUGAGACACGGCCCAGAGUCCUACGGGAGGCAGCAGUGGGGAAUUUUGGACAAGGGGCGCAAGCCUGAUCCAGCCAUGCCGCGUGUCUGAAGAAGGCCUUCGGGUUGUAAAGGACUUUUGUCCGGGAGCAAAUGCCUGGUGUUAAUAGCACUGGGAGCUGAGAGUACCGGAAGAAUAAGCACCGGCUAACUACGUGCCAGCCGCCGCCGUAAAAC
rnacentral:rRNA from 1 species